UUCCCCUAGUAACUGCGAGUGAAGCGGGAAGAGCUCAAAUUUAAAAUCUGGCGUGCCUCUGGUCGUCCGAGUUGUAGUCUGGAGAAGCGUCUUCCGUGUUGGACCGUGUAUAAGUCUCUUGGAACAGGGCGUCAUAGAGGGUGAGAAUCCCGUCUUUGACACGGACUACCAAUGCUAUGUGAUGCGCUCUCAAAGAGUCGAGUUGUUUGGGAAUGCAGCUCAAAAUGGGUGGUAAAUUCCAUCUAAAGCUAAAUAUAGGCGAGAGACCGAUAGCGAACAAGUACCGUGAGGGAAAGAUGAAAAGCACUUUGGAAAGAGAGUUAAACAGUACGUGAAAUUGCUGAAAGGGAAACGCUUGAAGUCAGUCACGUCUGCCAGGACUCAGCCUUGCUUCUGCUUGGUGCACUUUCUGGUUUGAUGGGCCAACAUCAAUUUUGACCGUUGGAGAAAGGCAUUGGGAAUGUGGCACCUUUGGGUGUGUUAUAGCCCCUUGUCAUAUACAACGGUUGGGAUUGAGGACUGCAGCACGCCUUUAUGGCCGGGGUUCGCCCACGUACGUGCUUAGGAUGUUGGCGUAAUGGCUUUAAGCGACCCGUCUUGAAACACGGACCAAGGAGUCUAACAUGCCUGCGAGUGUUUGGGUGGGAAACCCAUGCGCGUAAUGAAAGUGACAGCUGAGAUCCUCUCAUCGGGAGCAUCAGCACCUGGACUUGAUCUACGGAGACGGUUCUACGGUAGAGCAUGUAUGUUGGGACCCGAAAGAUGGUGAACUAUGCCUGAAUAGGGUGAAGCCAGAGGAAACUCUGGUGGAGGCUCGUAGCGAUUCUGACGUGCAAAUCGAUCGUCAAAUUUGGGUAUAGGGGCGAAAGACU
rnacentral:rRNA from 1 species